UCUCCGUUGGUGAACCAGCGGAGGGAUCAUUACUGAGUUUACGCUCUACAACCCUUUGUGAACAUACCUAUAACUGUUGCUUCGGCGGGUAGGGUCUCCGCGACCCUCCCGGCCUCCCGCUCCCGGGCGGGUCGGCGCCCGCCGGAGGAUAACCAAACUCUGAUUUAACGACGUUUCUUCUGAGUGGUACAAGCAAAUAAUCAAAACUUUUAACAACGGAUCUCUUGGUUCUGGCAUCGAUGAAGAACGCAGC
rnacentral:misc_RNA from 1 species